UGAGUACGAGAUGCUACGGCAUCGAAGCAGUCUAUGUCAUACUUCCAAGAAAAGCUUGCACUGUCAGAAACAGAUAAUGCCUGUACCAUAACCGACACAGGUGGGUAGGUAGAGUAUACUAAGGGGCGCGAGAUAACUCUCUCUAAGGAACUCGGCAAAAUGACUCCGUAACUUCGGGAGAAGGAGUGCCUUAUUUUUAAGGUUGCAAUAACAAGAUCCAAGCAACUGUUUACCAAAAACACAGGUCUCCGCUAAGUCGUAAGACGAUGUAUGGGGGCUGACGCCUGCCCAGUGCAGAAGGUUAAAGAAGUCGGUUAGCAUUCGCGAAGCUGGUAACUGAAGCCCUGGUGAACGGCGGCCGUAACGAUAACGGUCCUAAGGUAGCGAAAUUCCUUGUCGGGUAAGUUCCGACCCGCACGAAAGGCGUAAUGAUUUGGAUACUGUCUCGGAGAGGGCUCGGUGAAAUAGACUUGUCUGUGAAGAUGCGGACUACCUGCACCUGGACAGAAAGACCCUAUGAAGCUUUACUGUAACUUGAAAUUGAAAUUGGACUUUAUUUGCGCAGUAUAGGUGGGAGGCGUUGAAAAUAUUCUUGCGGGAAUAUUGGAGCCAUCAGUGAGAUACCACUCUUGUAAUGUUAGAUUUCUAACUUUAUAUCAUUAUCUGGUUAAAGAACAGUUUCAGGCGGGCAGUUUGACUGGGGCGGUCGCCUCCCAAAUGGUAACGGAGGCGCACAAAGGUUUCCUCUGAACGGGUAGAAAUCGUAUCUAGAGUGUAAAGGCAUAAGGAAGCUUGACUGUGAGACCUACAAGUCGAGCAGGGACGAAAGUCGGUCUUAGUGAUCUGACGGUGCUGAGUGGAAAGGCCGUCACUCAACGGAUAAAAGUUACUCUAAGGAUAACAGGCUGAUCUCCCCCAAGAGUUCACAUCGACGGGGAGGUUUGGCACCUCGAUGUCGGCUCAUCGCAUCCUGGGGCGGUAGUACGUCCCAAGGGUUGGGCUGUUCGCCCAUGAAAGCGGUACGCGAGCUGGGUUCAGAACGUCGUGAGACAGUUCGGUCCAUAUCCGGUGUAGGCGUUAGAAUAUUGAGAGGAGCCUUCUUUAGUACGAGAGGACCGAGAAGGACAUACCUCUGGUGUACCAGUUAUCGUGCCAACGGUAAACGCUGGGUAGCUAUGUAUGGAGUGGAUAACCGCUGAAAGCAUCUAAGUGGGAAGCCCACCUCAAGAUAAGUAUUCUC
rnacentral:rRNA from 1 species